rnacentral:rRNA from 1 species
AGUUCGGAUUGUAGUCUGCAACCCGACUACAUGAAGCUGGAAUCGCUAGUAAUCGCAGGUCAGCAUACUGCGGUGAAUACGUUCCCGGGUCUUGUACACACCGCCCGUCACACCAUGGGAGCCGGAAAUGCCCGAAGCCAGUGACCCAACCUUAGGGAGGGAGCUGUCGAAGGUGGAGCCGGUAACUGGGGUGAAGUCGUAACAAGGUAUC